GACGAACGCUGGCGGCGUGCCUAAUACAUGCAAGUCGAACGGUCUUUUCUAUGGAAGCUUGCUUCCGCUGAGAAGAUAGUGGCGAACGGGUGAGUAACACGUGGGUAACCUGCCCAUAAGAGGGGGAUAACAUCCGGAAACGGGUGCUAAUACCGCAUAGUUUUCUUGAUCGCAUGAUUGAGAAAGGAAAGACGGCCUUUGUGCUGUCGCUUAUGGAUGGAUCCGCGGCGUAUUAGUUAGUUGGUGAGGUAACGGCUCACCAAGACGAGGAUAAGUAGCCGCCCUGCGAGGUGGAUCGGCCACAUUGGGACUGGGACACGGCCCAAACUCCUACGGGAGGCAGCAGUAGGGAAUCUUCCGCAAUGGACGAAAGUCUGACGGAGCAACGCCGCGUGAGUGAAGGAGGUUUUCGGAUCGUAAAACUCUGUUGUCAGAGAAGAACAAGUCGGAGAGUAACUGCUCCGGCCUUGACGGUAUCUGACCAGAAAGCCACGGCUAACUACUUGCCAGCCGCCGCCGUAAGAC
rnacentral:rRNA from 1 species